GGCGCAGUGGCGAAGAGGUAACGCGGCGGUCUGCAAAACCGCCAUGCGGCGGGUUCGAAUCCCCCCUGCGCCU
rnacentral:tRNA from 1 species